AGCUGGAACAAGGAAGAUGUUUACUUGAUUGACUCGUGUCCUAGCUUCAUUUACGCGUUCGCCACCACAGCCUCGUUUAGGCAUAGCAGCCCUUCCUGUUUGUUUUCACUGUCCGAUUCAACAUGAAUUCUACAUUCUGUCUCAUCAUCUUCGGAAUAUUCAUGAUGUUUGCCUUGACAAUAGGCGCUGAAAAUAAAUGUCGGGAGAAAUGCAUGAGAGAACAUCUGGAGAAUGGAAAUUCGAUUGGGCGCAUUGCUUAUUUGCAGUGUUUUUAUGAUAAAUGUUCAACAUACAAAGUUCAUUGAAGAAAAUCAAUAACCAAUAUGCGAUACAAAAAGCAAUAAUUUUAAAGACAACAUUUAUACA